AGUCAACAUGCCCAAAGGACGUGGAUAACCUCGGGAAACUGGGGAUAAACCAUGAUAGGCCAAGGUUUCUGGAAUGAGCCAUGGCCGAAAUCUAUAUGGCCUUUGGAUUGGACUGCGGCCGAUCAGGCUGUUGGUGAGGUAAUGGCCCACCAAACCUGUAACCGGUACGGGCUUUGAGAGAAGGAGCCCGGAGAUGGGCACUGAGACAAGGGCCCAGGCCCUAUGGGGCGCAGCAGGCGCGAAACCUCUGCAAUAGGCGAAAGCUUGACAGGGUUACUCUGAGUGAUGCCCGCUAAGGGUAUCUUUUGGCACCUCUAAAAUGGUGCAGAAUAAGGGGUGGGCAAGUCUGGUGUCAGCCGCCGCGGUAAUACCAGCACCCCGAGUUGUCGGGACGAUUAUUGGGCCUAAAGCAUCCGUAGCCUGUUCUGCAAGUCCUCCGUUAAAUCCACCUGCUCAACGGAUGGGCUGCGGAGGAUACCGCAGAGCUAGGAGGCGGGAGAGGCAAACGGUACUCAGUGGGUAGGGGUAAAAUCCAUUGAUCUACUGAAGACCACCAGUGGCGAAGGCGGUUUGCCAGAACGCGCUCGACGGUGAGGGAUGAAAGCUGGGGGAGCAAACCGGAUUAGAUACCCGGGUAGUCCCAGCUGUAAACGAUGCAGACUCGGUGAUGGGUUGGCUUCGAGCCAACCCAGUGCCGCAGGGAAGCCGUUAAGUCUGCCGCCUGGGGAGUACGGUCGCAAGACUGAAACUUAA
rnacentral:rRNA from 1 species